rnacentral:lncRNA from 1 species
UUUUUUUUUUUUUUUUUUUGGUGACAUACCAUUUUAUUUGAAAGAACUAUGUAGAAAGACCAAGUAUAUUUGUUCAGUCUCAGAUAUUCAACAAACAUUUUCUUCAAUAUGAAUUAAACAAAUCUAUUCCUUCAAAGACAACAAUUGAACUUAAUGGUCAAUGAUAAAAUUUGAACUUUUCAGUAAAACAUUAGGAAUUUGGAAAACAGAGAGCUAUCAUCAUGAGCUCGAUGGCUUCCCAACAUAGAGACUUUUCUGAUGAGAUUAGUAAUGAUAAAAAAUGAAUGAUUUAAUUUUUAGUAUUUUUGAAAAGAAAUAUGUCAUUAUUGGAAGAUCUGCAUCAUUCAAUGAAACAUUAUCCAAAUGAUUAAUCACAUAAAAAGUUACAUUCAAAAUACAAGAUGGACCAAUGGGUUUCAGUGUAAUAGAGCAUGAAAAGUUCAAAGAUGUGACUUCAUUAUCAGCAUUAUGACUAACCUUUAAGAAAGUACCACUUCUCCAGUUUGAGCAUAGUAACAAAGAAAAAUAUUCUUAAUUAUAUAAAAAAACUAUCAAAACACUCUUCAGUUUUCUAACAUUUGUGUUUGAAGCUGGAUUUUCCUCAUAUAUUUAAAUCAAAAUAACAUACUCUGCAACAGAUUGAAUGCGGAGCAGAUAUGAGAAUCCAGGUGUUUUCUAUUAACCCAGAUCGUAUGCUGAUUUGCAAAACUAUAAAAUAACAUCAAUAAUAUCUUUAAAGUUUUCUCUUGUUUUGGAAAAAUAGUUAUUUUUUGUUUUUAAAAAGUUUUUUAUGUUAACAUAUGGCAGGCUUAUUAUUAUUCUUUUUAAAUGAAGUAAUACAUUUUUAAAAAAUUCUUAUAGGAUGGAUAUCAAUAGAUUUGACCUUUGUAAACAAAAGCUUUUUAGGUUCCUUAAUGAUUUCUAAGAAUGAAGAAAUCCCGGAUCAAAAACUUUGAGAAACACUGAUCCAGAUCAAGGAUCAGUCCCUUUCUCAUCUGGGUUUCUUCUCUUGGAAUAGGAAAUUUCUGUCAUUCUCUGCAGCAAUAUUAGGGAAGGCAGGUUCCUUUACAAUCUGCCACAGCACUGCCUCCUAGUGUCUAAUUUAUCAUUCAACGAAAUGAUUUUCUCAAUACCUCUCUGUUUUCUUUCAUGGUAGGCCUGGCUCGUCAAAAUAUAUUUUUCAUAAAACAUUUUCAGCCACAUUCCUGUAAUAAAAUUGCUACUUUAAAACUAGUUUAAAAUUUUGUUUUCACUUCUAUUAAUAUCCACUUUAGAUCUGGUUCAUUGUUCAAAUCCAUUAACAUUUUGUAGCUGAAUUUUCUAUUGGAACAUAACUCUGUAUCACCUGAAAAUUUAAUUUAGAACUCCUAAACUUUAUUAAUAAAAAGUAUUUGAUAGAGUACUGAUGACAGCAAACUUUUUUCACUUUAUCAGAGUGUGAAAGAUUAUCAGUAAUUAACCAAUGUUAUUGGUAUAUUUUUAAUCAAUAGUAGAGCCAAUAACAAUGUUAUUAUCAAUUUCAUAUUCAAUCAUCUUAUGAAGAAGAAAAGAAGAAGAAGGAAGAGGAGGGGGGAGGAAGAGGAGAGGAGGAAGGGGAAGAGGAGGAAGAGAAGAAACAGAUUUCUCUGUUUCUAUUUAGAGAACACAUGAUGGUUUCCUUGUGAUCUCUGUUAUUAUUUCUGAAUUCUUCAAAUAUUUUAAGAGGCAUCAAUGUCAAGCUUUUCAGUAUCUUGUUUCUAGGAAACUUCUAUACUUAUUGCAUACUUUAAAAAAAUAGAACAUUUUCUUGUAGCCUCCCUCCAGAACCUCCCAUUUUAAUUUUUAUUUCUUAACAAUUAACAGUAAUAAUUUUUACAGCCUCUACAAACCAUUCAGUAAACUUGGAUAUAAUAUUUAAAAGAGUUUAUAAUGUUCAUGUUCUUAUUUCUUCCAAUUUGGUCAGCCAAGUUAUCCCAUUGUGACUUAGUAUGAUGUCAUUUUAAGUCUCAUCUAAGAGUAUAAGGCAAUCACUAGGGUAAAGAACUUCUAAGAUGGUCCCCAAUAACCUUUCCUUCCUGAUAUCCAUGCCCUGUGUAAUUCCUUCUUCUUGUGUGUAGGCUUGACUUAACUGUAUCGCUUGUAUUGAAUAAAAUGUAGAAGUGUUGGAAUAUCACUUCUAAGAUUAGCUUAUUAAAAAAAGACAUACUGUCCCACAAUUUCUCUUGGAUUGCUUACCCUUGGGAAAAUCGAUGACCAUAUUAUAUGACAACCCUGUAGAUAAACCUACAGGGUGAAGAGUCAAGUCCUGCCAACAACCACAUGAGUUAGCUUGGAGGCAGAACUUCCUCCUUGUGAUGAAUCUUUCAGGUAAGAUCAUAGACACAGCUGACAGCCUGAGAACAAUCUUAUGAUAGACUUUGAGCCUAUAGUUCUCAGCUAAGUCACAUCCAGAUACUUGACCCACAGAAAACUGGACAAAGACGAUAAGAUAUCCAGGCAGGAAAAUAUAAAAUUCUCUAUGCCAAGAACUACAGCAUCAAUAGUGUUGAAGUCAUGUCUUAAAAUUUAUAUAUAAGGGUAUUAGUCAAAGUGAUUAAAGGUAAUACCUUAAAGUAAUUAAGGGUAAUAGUCAUUGAAGCACAUACAAAUGCUGCAGGGGUUAUUUUAAUAUAGUUUUAUCCAAUUUCUGAAUUUUCAGUGGCUUCUUGUCCUAAUGGAUACGUCAUGGGAACACUAGACUGAAUAAUAUUUAAUUUAUUAAAUAUUAUUUAUAAGGAUUGUUUUUACAGAGACAAUAGUGUUUUCUUGGAGUUAUUUUACUAAUGACAAAACUGAGUCCUCAAGAAAUAAAUAUUGACACUACUGCUAUUUGGUUUGAAUCACUGUUUAUAGCCACACUAACUACACUGAUAUAUGUGUCUCUUUUACUAUCCACUCAGUAACCUCUGAGGUAGUUACCAUGGCCACUUUUUUUUUUUUUUUUAUCAUGGCCACUUUUUAAAAAGAUAUAUUAAGAUUCAGAGAGAUUUAAUAGCUUUUUUGGGGGGGAGAAAUAUCUCAGCUAAUAAGUAGCGACCUAAAGAGCUAACAGUCAGAUUUCAAACCUCAUUUAAACAAUAAGAUUACAAUCCAUAAUUUCAGAUUUAUUUUUUUUCCAUUUUUAAAUUGGGUUAUGUGUAUUCCUAUUGUUGAAUUUUAAGAGUUCUUCGUAUAUGUUGUAUACAAGUCCCUUAUCAGAUAUUUAUUUUGUAAAUAUUUCUCCAGGUAUGAGGCUUGUCUCUUUACCUUCUGGACAGUGUCUUUCACAGAGCAGAAAUGUCUUAUUUUAAUAAAGUUCAACUUGUUGCAUUUUUUUUCUUUCAUGGAUUAUGUUGUUGCUGUGGUUUGUAUCUAAACUCAUUGCCAGGAGCAUUUGAGUGGCUCAGUUGAUUAAGCAUCUCCCUUCAGCUCAGGUCCUGAUCUCAGAAUCAUUGCCUGGGCUCUGUGUUAGGCUCCCUGCCCAGCAGGGAGUCUGCUUCAACAUCUCCCUCUGCUCCUCCUGUGCUCCCCCUUUUGUACACACUCUCUCUCUCUCUCUCUCUCUCCCUCUCUCCUCUCUCUCUCUCUCCCUCCUCUCUCAAAUAAAUAAAUAAAACCUUCUAAAAAAAAAUAAACUCACUGCCAAACUCAAGGUCACUUAGAUUUUUCCUAUGUUGCCUUCCAGAAAUUUUACAAUUUUACAUUUUAUAUUUUUGCUUUAGUUUUUUUAUUUCUAGAAUUCCCUUUUGAUUCUUUUAUAGAGUUUUCAUUUAUCUGCUUAUGUUAUCCAUCUAUUCUUGUAUACUGCCUACUUUUGCCAUUACAUAUCUUAGCAUGUUAAUCAUAGUUAUUUUGAAAUUAUUACAUCUGGAAUUUAAAAUCUUUGCCAUAUGUGGGAUUCUAAUGCUGUUCUAUAUCUUCGCACAGUGGUUUUUUAUUUUUUUUUUCAUUUUCCUUUUUGCCUUUUAGUAUUCCUUAUAAUUUUUGUUUAAAGCUUGGUAUGAUGUUCCAGGUAAAAGGAACUGAGGUAAACAGGCUUUUGAUGUGAAGUUUUAUUUAUCUGGCCAGAAGUUAGCCUGUGUUUACCUUUGUUGAAGCUAUGUCAGAAACUAGAAUUUCCUCUGGUGUAUUAGUGUUUGUCUCCACUGUUGUCUUUGGGCUUCUCUAGUGACUUCUUAAAUAAGGUCUAAGAUUUGUAGUUCUUUCAGUUUUAAUCAUCUAUUAUUGUACAGAU